rnacentral:rRNA from 1 species
UUCGAUUCUGGCUCAAGGACGAACGGCUGGCGGCGUAGCCUAACACAUGCAAGGUCGAGCGAGGAGAUCCUCGGGAUGAUCCUAGCGGCGGACGGGUGAGUAACACGUGGGCAACCUGCCUCAUAGAGAGGAAUAGACCUUCCGAAAGGGAGACUUAAUACCUCAUAACAUUGCAGUUUCGCAUGGAACAGCAAUUAAAGGAGUAAUCCGCUAUGAGAUGGGCCCGCGGCGCAUUAGCUAGUUGGUGAGGUAACGGCUCACCGAAGGCGACGAUGCCGUAGCCGACCUGAGAGGGUGAUCGGCCACAUUGGGGACUGAGACACGGCCCAGACUCCUACGGGAGGCAGGCAGUGGGGAAUAUUGCACAAUGGGGGAAACCCUGAUGCAAGCAACGCCGCGUGAGUGAUGACGGCCUUCGGGUUGUAAAGCUCUGUCUUCAGGGACGAUAAUGACGGUACCUGAGGAGGAAGCCACGGCUAACUACGUGCCAGCAGCCGC